rnacentral:rRNA from 1 species
GACGAACGCUGGCGGCGCGCCUAACACAUGCAAGUCGAACGAUCGAGAGAGAGCUUGCUUUCUCAAGCGAGUGGCGAACGGGUGAGUAACGCGUGAGGAACCUGCCUCAAAGAGGGGGACAACAGUUGGAAACGACUGCUAAUACCGCAUAAGCCCACGACCCGGCAUCGGGUAGAGGGAAAAGGAGCAAUCCGCUUUGAGAUGGCCUCGCGUCCGAUUAGCUAGUUGGUGAGGUAACGGCCCACCAAGGCGACGAUCGGUAGCCGGACUGAGAGGUUGAACGGCCACAUUGGGACUGAGACACGGCCCAGACUCCUACGGGAGGCAGCAGUGGGGAAUAUUGCACAAUGGGGGAAACCCUGAUGCAGCGACGCCGCGUGGAGGAAGAAGGUCUUAGGAUUGUAAACUCCUGUUGUUGAGGAAGAUAAUGACGGUACUCAACAAGGAAGUGACGGCUAACUACGUG